rnacentral:rRNA from 1 species
AGCGAACGCUGGCGGCAGGCCUAACACAUGCAAGUCGAACGAACUCUUCUGAUUUAGUGGCGGACGGGUGAGUAACACGUGGGAACGUUCCUUUUGGUUCGGAAUAACUCAGGGAAACUUGUGCUAAUACCGAAUGUGCCCUUCUGGGGAAAGAUUUAUCUCCAUUCGAGCGUCCCGCGUCUGAUUAGCUAGUUGGUGAGGUAACGGCUCACCCAGGCUGAGAUCAGUAGCUGGUCUGAGAGGAUGACCAGCCACACUGGGACAGAGACACGGCCCAGACUCCUACGAGAGGCAGAAGUGGGGAAUCUGGAGCAAUGGGCGAAAGACUGACGCAGCCGGGCCGCGUGAAUGAUGAAGGUCUUAGGAUUGUAAAAUUCUUUGACAGGGGACGAUAAUGACGGUACCCGGAGAAGAAGCCCCGGCUAACUUCGUG